AUUCUAUCGCAGAGGCAUUAUCAUAGCCUAUGAAGGUCCAUCUGAGGCGUGGUUAUUGCUGGUUGAAAACUUAACCCAAAACUCCCGCAUUGGGAUGACUUGAAAUAUAGUCAGAGGGCAGAAUAGUUCAUGCAGACUGCUAU